rnacentral:lncRNA from 1 species
UUUUGUGAUUCAACAGAAUGGUAUACAAAUAGCAAAAAAAAGGGUGACUGGGUUGGACAAAUUCCAAAAGCUGUACUGAGAAGACAAGACUUUGAUGAUGUCCCAACCCCAUGUCAAUUAGAGAAUUACAGUCCCAAGCAUCCUCAGCCAUUAAGGAGACCAGAUACAGCAACAGACCAUUUUUCUAACCAGCGACCUCAAUAUGAGAAAUUUGGCUAUCCAAGCAAUAAUUUUGCCUUAUGCAGGUUAUGCAGAGGGGAGACAGUAUCAGGUAUGUAUUAAUAACAUACCUAGGUAUAUAUAUUCUAUAAUCAUUUGUCUUCGUACUGAGUACAAAUUAUGAUAAUUCAAAUUGGUAGUAUUUAUGUCACUAAGUAAAGACGUGAGCUAAUAAAAAGCCUAAAACCACGUUUUA